rnacentral:rRNA from 1 species
UACGAAGGGGGCUAGCGUUGCUCGGAAUCACUGGGCGUAAAGCGCACGUAGGCGGCUUUUUAAGUCAGGGGUGAAAUCCUGGAGCUCAACUCCAGAACUGCCUUUGAUACUGGGGAUCUCGAGUCCGGGAGAGGUGAGUGGAACUCCGAGUGUAGAGGUGAAAUUCGUAGAUAUUCGGAAGAACACCAGUGGCGAAGGCGGCUCACUGGCCCGGUACUGACGCUGAGGUGCGAAAGCGUGGGGAGCAAACAGG